rnacentral:lncRNA from 1 species
UGAUUUUAGUCAUUAGUUCUGCACAUACCUGGGAUUUGAGUGAAGUAACAGAGGACGGACUGUAUUGUGGCCACUGAGCUUGCGAAGCCCCUCACUGCUUACUGCAUGCAAUGACAGAAACGAGUUUGGAGUAGAAUCUCAGCCAAAAGAGGCUGAGGAAAGUGUGCUCCAUGUUGUGACAAAGCUAAUGUCAAAAAAGGACAGUGGUCUCCUGAGGAAGAUAAAGCUAAGUCUUGGGACUCAUGGAACUGGUGGCAAUUGGAUUCAUCUGCCACAAAAAGCUGGCUUUUAGAUUCUUCAACAAGAAUCAAGUUGACCACAUUAAGGGUGAUCAGAACACGUGGUUUUUUAAUAAAGAAGCCAAGCUGCCGAAAUUGCAGACAGUCACCCCUCAAUUUGGAACUUUGUUUCUUCCAUGACUUGGCAUCUGAGUAAUCGACUGCAAUACUUUGAAGGUUAAGCAAUAUCAGUAUACCAAAGAUACAAAAUGAAUUGCUUCUAAAAAGUCAUGGUUCUCUUACGAAUCUGGUCUGGGAAUGGCUUCCUGUGAUUUUGAUCAUUGAUUUAUUUGUAUUAUCCUCCAACACUGUGGCACUCAAAGUGAUAACUCGAUCAGCUAUGAGUAGAUGUAUAGCAGCCUCCUUCAGUACUCAUGUUGUAAAGUUUUUAGUCACACAAAGGUGCUGAACUUGGGAACUUUGUGAUCUUUUCUCACAUGUUGUUUGUUAUAGGAGAGAUCUUCUAUCAUUGUUGUGUCUGAAAUCUCUUUCUUUGAGAAAUGCAGCACUUUUGAAAAUUGUUUUUGUUAUUUCCUGCAAAGGAAGAGGCAGUGACAGAUUAUUAAUAUGAAUGUUGUAAAAUAUGUUGCAGUAAACAUGUAAAAUGUUUGUCAUUGAUGAAAUCGAUAUCUGAUAGCUUUUAGUUCU